CUGAAAUCCUAUAUAACCAACUGUUCAUUUUGUCGAUUCUGAUUCAGCCAUGACAUCGUUUUCCAAGUGUGUUUUCUUCAGCUUCCUCCUUUUAGUUUAUGUCGAAUUUUCUAAAGGUGAUGACUCUGCAUGCUGGGCUAUGAAUGGAAGAUGUCAGUAUACCUCUGUAUCUUGUGGUAAAUACAAGCCGGGAUAUUGUUCCGGGCCCACAAAUAGGCAAUGCUGUGUUAUUGGAGCUGACAGACUGUGUUCAAACAAAUAUUUAUUUGGAAAAUGCCAAGAUGUUGGUAACGCCUGCUUGGGUGGCUAUGUUUCAAACUUGUGCGGAGGUGGAAAUAACCGGCGUUGUUGUAGAGGAUUUGGUCGAUAAAAAAAAACUUUGAUAAAGAAAGGGUAUUUGGAAUCAAUUCGAGAACAUCAACAUCAACAGGCAUGCGUGGAUUCCAAAAAAGAUAUUCAAAAUCAACAUUCACAUGUGAUAUAUUCUACCAUGGCUGUCAAAUAAUUUGUAGUAAAUCGUUUUGCUACAAUA